UACGUAGGGUGCGAGCGUUGCCCGGAUUUAUUGGGCGUAAAGGGCGCGUAGGCGGCUCUGCACGUCCGUUGUGAAAUCGCCCGGCUCAACUGGGCGGGGUCAGCGGAUACGGCGGAGCUUGAGCAAGCUAGGGGGCAAUGGAAUUCCCGGUGUAGUGGUGGAAUGCGUAGAUAUCAAGCGGAACACCGGUGGCGAAGGCGGCCUUCUGGACAGUGACUGACGCUGAGACGCGAAAGCGUGGGGAGCAAACAGG
rnacentral:rRNA from 1 species